UACGUAGGGUGCGAGCGUUAAUCGGAAUUACUGGGCGUAAAGCGUGCGCAGGCGGCUUUGCAAGACAGAUGUGAAAUCCCCGGGCUCAACCUGGGAACUGCAUUUGUGACUGCAUAGCUAGAGUGCGGCAGAGGGGGAUGGAAUUCCGCGUGUAGCAGUGAAAUGCGUAGAUAUGCGGAGGAACACCGAUGGCGAAGGCAAUCCCCUGGGCCUGCACUGACGCUCAUGCACGAAAGCGUGGGGAGCAAACAGG
rnacentral:rRNA from 1 species